rnacentral:lncRNA from 1 species
CCCCUAUCUCCAUGUGAGAGAUCUAAGGGGUCCAGAUUAAUUGAGACUGCUGGUCCUAAAGGGAUGCCCUCCUAUGCUUCUUUCAGUCUUUCCCUAAUUUAACAACAGGUGUCAGCUGCGUUUCUCCAUUAGAUGGGUGCAACUAUCUGCCUCUGACUCUUUCAGCUAUUUGUUGGGUCUUUCAGAGUGCAGUCAUGCUAGGUCCCUUUGUGAGUGCUCAUUAGCCUCAUUAAUAGUGUCAGACCUUCGCAUAUCCCCUUGAACUGGAUCUCUCUUUGGGUCUGUUUGCUGGGCCUUCUUUUCCUCAGGCUCCUCUCUAUUUCCAUCCCUGUAAUUUUUUCAGACAGGAACAAUUGUGAAUCAGAGUUGUGACUGUGGGAUGGCCCCCUCUUGCUUAUUUGAUGCCCUGUCUUCCUGCUUGAGGUGGGCUCUAUCAGGUCCCUUCCCUACUGUCUGGCAUUUCAUCUAAGGUCCAUCCCUUUGGGUCCUGUGAGUUGCUCACUUCCGAAGUCUCUGGUGAAUUUUGGAGGGUCCCCAACCUCCUAUGUCCAGAGGCUGCCUUUUUCCAGUUUUUCUGCUGGUCCUCAGGGCUUCUGUUCUUUUCCCUCAUCCAAUACCAAAUCAGGUUCCCUUCUUCCCCCGACCCCCAAGUAUCCUCCAAGUCCAUUUUCUUUCCCAGAUCCCUCCAUCCCUCCACACUUGUGAUUGCUUUCUUUUCUCUUCCAAGUGAAACUGAGUGGGGUCUUCAUUUGGGCCCUUCAGCUUGCUAACCUUUUUUAGUUCUGUGGAGAAUAUCUUGGGCAUUCUGUACUUUUUGUUUGUUUGUUUUUGGCUGAUAUCCACAUAUUAGGUAGUACAUAUCAUGCAUGUUCUUUGGGUCUGAGUAAACUCACUCAGGAUGAUAUUUUUUUAUUCUACCCGUUCGCCAACAAAACUCAGUAUGUCCUCGUUCUUAAUACCUGACUAGUAUUCCACUGUGGAGAAUUUCACCUGCCUUGCAUUACUAGGAUAGGGAAAAUUAAUCACUGCCUCCAAGUAGAGAGGGCAGUGAUAAUUUCCUGGAAUGAACAGUUACUGAUUGAAAUUUGUGUCUCCAGAUAGAGAGCAUAACAGAUAAAUGGUUUAUUAAAAAGUCUGCAGGAGCCGGGCUUGGUGGUGCAUGCCUUUAAUCCCAGCACUCAGGAGGCAGAGUCAGGCGGAUUUCUAAGUUAGAGACCAGCCUGGUCUAAAAACUGAGUUCCAAGACAGCCAGGGCUAUACAGAAAAACCCUGUCUCGAAAAACAACGAAAAAAAAAAUAGUCUGGAGCAAAUCAUAUUCUUUGAAGGUGGGUUCCAUGGAAAUUGUGGGUUAAUUAUCUGACAUGAAUAAAUAGAAAAAGCCUAAGAAUAGUCACAUACAAUGUUUUAGUUUCCUUAAUUUGUUUUGGAUUGUUUUAAUAUUCAAAAUUGAUGUGAUUUUUUUAAUUUGGUGGAUAUAUUAUUCCUCUGGGAGAGAGGUCAAAAUAAAGGGUUUUCUAGUUAGUGUCUCAAGGAUAUGCUGAUUUGGGAGAAAGGUCUUCUGUUUGUGUUUUUAGAAAAGAUGAUUAGGCUCUGGACAUCUUCCAGAGUUAUAUAGAUCAGAUUUGAUAGAGGGAUCCCCCUGAAAACUAGAUUCUACAAAAUCAACAAAAAAGUUAUCUUAAUGAUACUAUAAUUUGGUUUCCAAAUUUAUAUAUUACAGAAUUACAGCUUUGGUGAGAUCCAAUGUCAAACAUGACCCAGUUAAACUUCUCAUCUCAUUGAUUUUCAGCUGGAUCCAGUCAGGACAUAGACAUCAGAAAUUUUAAUAAUAUGGUUACUGUGGCUUUCUUUUUUUUAAUUUGUUUAAUUAAGUAUUUUCUUCAUUCACAUUUCCAAUGCUAUCCCAAAAGUCCACCCC